rnacentral:tRNA from 2 species
GCCCGGUUAGCUCAAUCGGUAGAGCGUGAGACUCUUAAUACGAGUUCACCAUCUCAAGGUUGCGGGUUCGACCCCCGCAUCGGGCU